UAAUACGAAGGGGGCAAGCGUUGUUCGGAUUUACUGGGCGUAAAGGGCGCGCAGGCGGCUCUUCAAGUCAGAUGUGAAAGCCCCGGGCUCAACCUGGGAACUGCAUUUGAGACUGAAGAACUCGAGUUCGGGAGAGGAUGGCGGAAUUCCCAGUGUAGAGGUGAAAUUCGUAGAUAUUGGGAAGAACACCGGUGGCGAAGGCGGCCAUCUGGACCGAGACUGACGCUGAGGCGCGAAAGCGUGGGGAGCAAACAGGAUUAGAUACCCUGGUAGUCCACGCCGUAAACGAUGUGUGCUAGACGUCGGGAAGCCUAGCUUUCCGGUGUCGCAGCCAACGCUUUAAGCACACCGCCUGGGGAGUACGGCCGCAAGGUUA
rnacentral:rRNA from 1 species